GGGGCUGACCGGUUUUGACAGCAUAGAUCUUUGUAAGUGUAAGCAUGUAGUGCGUUGCGUAAUUAGCACUUCAAUCUGAAUACGAAACUUUUAAAUGGCAAUACUCAGUAUGCCAUGGCUGCUUAAUCGAUAGAUUAGCAACCAUUAGGGCCGCCGAGCAGGUUCGCUUGUUCCCAUGCUCCGCCGCCGACUCAAAAACAAAACAAGAUGCUGCAAUUGAAUGUCGUGACGAUUGCUUAAGACGAUUCUUCUAAGGUGUGGAUUGGUUUGUUAUGCUCCUGCCCUCACCCUACAAUUAAUGCAUAAAUAAACAUGUAGAAAGCUUACGGCGAAUAUGUUUGGACCAGGGUUCGAUUCCCUGCAGCUCCACUU
rnacentral:tmRNA from 1 species